rnacentral:rRNA from 1 species
CAGGCUUAACACAUGCAAGUCGAGGGGCAGCAUUUUAUUUUGCUUGCAAACUGAAGAUGGCGACCGGCGCACGGGUGAGUAACACGUAUCCAACCUGCCGAUAACUCCGGAAUAGCCUUUCGAAAGAAAGAUUAAUACCGGAUAGCAUACGAAUAUCGCAUGAUAUUUUUAUUAAAGAAUUUCGGUUAUCGAUGGGGAUGCGUUCCAUUAGUUUGUUGGCGGGGUAACGGCCCACCAAGACUACGAUGGAUAGGGGUUCUGAGAGGAAGGUCCCCCACAUUGGAACUGAGACACGGUCCAAACUCCUACGGGAGGCAGCAGUGAGGAAUAUUGGUCAAUGGGCGAGAGCCUGAACCAGCCAAGUAGCGUGAAGGAUGAAGGCUCUAUGGGUCGUAAACUUCUUUUAUAUGGGAAUAAAGUUUUCCACGUGUGGAAUUUUGUAUGUACCAUAUGAAUAAGGAUCGGCUAACUCCGUGCCAGCAGCCGCGGUAAUACGGAGGAUCCGAGCGUUAUCCGGAUUUAUUGGGUUUAAAGGGAGCGUAGGUGGAUUGUUAAGUCAGUUGUGAAAGUUUGCGGCUCAACCGUAAAAUUGCAGUUGAAACUGGCAGUCUUGAGUACAGUAGAGGUGGGCGGAAUUCGUGGUGUAGCGGUGAAAUGCUUAGAUAUCACGAAGAACUCCGAUUGCGAAGGCAGCUCACUAGACUGUCACUGACACUGAUGCUCGAAAGUGUGGGUAUCAAACAGGAUUAGAUACCCUGGUAGUCCACACAGUAAACGACGAAUACUCGCUGUUUGCGAUAUACAGUAAGCGGCCAAGCGAAAGCAUUAAGUAUUCCACCUGGGGAGUACGCCGGCAACGGUGAAACUCAAAGGAAUUGACGGGGGCCCGCACAAGCGGAGGAACAUGUGGUUUAAUUCGAUGAUACGCGAGGAACCUUACCCGGGCUUAAAUUGCAACAGAAUAUAUUGGAAACAGUAUAGCCGUAAGGCUGUUGUGAAGGUGCUGCAUGGUUGUCGUCAGCUCGUGCCGUGAGGUGUCGGCUUAAGUGCCAUAACGAGCGCAACCCUUAUCUUUAGUUACUAACAGGUUAUGCUGAGGACUCUAGAGAGACUGCCGUCGUAAGAUGUGAGGAAGGUGGGGAUGACGUCAAAUCAGCACGGCCCUUACGUCCGGGGCUACACACGUGUUACAAUGGGGGGUACAGAAGGCGGCUACCUGGUGACAGGAUGCUAAUCCCAAAAACCUCUCUCAGUUCGGAUCGAAGUCUGCAACCCGACUUCGUGAAGCUGGAUUCGCUAGUAAUCGCGCAUCAGCCAUGGCGCGGUGAAUACGUUCCCGGGCCUUGUACACACCGCCCGUCAAGCCAUGAAAGCCGGGGGUACCUGAAGUACGUAACAGCAAGGAGCGUCCUAGGGUAAAACUGGUAAUUG